ACGUGGGAAGGUCUUGUUUUGAAAAUAAAAUAACGUUGCACAAAUUGUCUGAUAUAAGUUAUGCGUGUAGUAGAAUAAGAAAAAGGGAAAGCUAUGACACCUUUCCCCUUCCUUUUCCACGUGUUGACUGGUGUGGGAAGGUAGAACGGCUAUUAAAGGGGAGGUCACUCCACCUUUCUUCCCCCACUUCCUUCACUCUAAUCUCUUUCCCACCUUGUGCUUCCCCAAAUUCCUCUUGAGUUUUCCCUUUUCCAUAUCUUCUAAGAUACAACACCAUGGCUGCACAUCCCACAAAUAACUUAGGGUUUGGAAUUCCCCCCCCCCCCCCCCCCGCCGCCGUUCUUUCCUAAUUUUGCAGCCAUCUUGCCCACAUGCAUGGUGGUGAGAAGCUUAGAUGAGGAUGAUUUGGGGGUGGUGUACAUGAUGUGUCCUUGGGACACUUUUCGUCUGGUCUACAACGACUACGCCCGCCGGGUUGCGUGCUCUCCUCAACACCUGCUGAUUUGCCGACAAGGAGGAGAGGUCGUCCCACCACUACUCAUAGCUGGAGAGAUCAGACUGAUGGAGGGGGAGACCCUCAUAGUCCUCAGCCUCGUACCAGGGAUGAACGUGAACACGUUUGUCCGGACUUUUUAGUCCACGGGUGUAUACGGUUCAAAGGCGAGUCACCGACAACUUAUGGUCGGUCAUAAAUGAAUACGCCCACUCGCUACGGUUGCAUCCCCUUAGGGUAACAAUCUCGCACAAUAUGAUUGUGCGAGAAGGGACCGAGACAAUUCAGGAUGUCAGGAUGUCGGUAUUGUCAACGGGUCCACCCUCUACGCAAUCAUCGAGUAGGAUGGAUUGCUGAUUAUCCCUUUUUGAAAACUUUUUGGUACAUAAGGGAUAAGUUUUUGCAGUUACUUAGGCCGGGUACUGAUACUGAUGAUCUAAGUCUUUUCCUCAUGCAGUGAGGAUGUUGUAUCCAACUAGUGCCUAAGUAACACAUUUUGUUGAUUAGUAUCAAAACUAGUUUUUAUGUAUAACUCGAACUACUUUUGGUACCAAACUACUAAUCUAAUUCUACUUGUCAAGUA